CCACGGGUGAGUAACACGUAUCCAACCUGCCGUCUACUCUUGGACAGCCUUCUGAAAGGAAGAUUAAUACAAGAUGGCAUCAUGAGUCCACAUGUUCACAUGAUUAAAGGUAUUCCGGUAGACGAUGGGGAUGCGUUCCAUUAGAUAGUAGGCGGGGUAACGGCCCACCUAGUCUUCGAUGGAUAGGGGUUCUGAGAGGAAGGUCCCCCACAUUGGAACUGAGACACGGUCCAA
rnacentral:rRNA from 1 species